UUUGCAUCCCUUAUCAUAACCUAACUCUUUAGGUUAACUUUCUCAUUUUCUAUUUGAUACUUUAUUUAAUUGAUAGUCAUAAUUUAAGACCCACCAGCCGACGGAGGGGUUGCUGCUCUCAACCCCAUGAAACCACGUGGGCGCGCACCAUACAUUUAUAUAGCAGGUACCUUUCAUCCUCUCAGAAUCAACCAGAAGAAAAGAUGGAAGAGGGAGAAAUGAAGAUGGAAGAGAGUUACACACUCGUGUGCUUUCUCCAUCUCUCCAAUAUUAAAUCAUGAUUGAAGGAGACUCAAGCAGUGCUCACUUCUCGUAACUCUGUCAUCAGGUUCAACAUUUUGGCUGUGCUCUCAUCUUAUCUUUUUAAUUAAUCAUACAACCAUACUUUCUAUAUAUACUCUUUUUAAUUGUUCUAGUUUUUACAGUGUUUUCUCUUCAACCAGAUCUCAAUGUAUUUCUACAGACUCUCAUAUUUCUAAUGCUCUAUGAUCCUGCACUCUUGUGCAUAUGUACCAUGUUCUUGCUAUGUGUACCACAGCUUAUAAUGAGUGAAUAAAAUAUGUUUAUUUUGGUUCACUGAAGAUGUUUUAUUUUUGGUAAGUAAUGUGUAAUGGGUUAGUUGGGAUAUUUAAUGAUUUUCCACAAUAUAUACAUCCUUUUAAUAAAAGGGGGUCUAAUUAAAAUGUAUAGGUCAAAUGUAUAUGGGAUUUUAUGUUUGUCCCCUUUAGUUUUUGGACUAUUUUGGUUGGGUUGCACCUCUUUAUAUACCAUUAUAUCACAG
rnacentral:lncRNA from 1 species